AAAAUUUUUUUUUUUUUGAAAACCUGACCCCAGAGUAUGCCAGAUCCGCCACAAAUACAGGGAAUCCACUGUUCACACGGACAGAGUCCCCUGUAUUUGCACGGCGUCGCACAAGUACAAAAGUACAAACAGUAUACAACCACAACUAAAUGAAUAAACAGAUAGCUAUACCUUCAUACAUUCACCAUUCACACCGUAGUUUUACAUUCGAUGAUUAAACAAAAGUCCACGAAAAAUCUUUUUGAAAACUGUUCCAUACGCGAAAACUUUUAUCUUUUAUAAAAGCUACCACGAGGGGUAGAAAACCUUUUAUUUUACUAAUCCAGAAAUCCUUUUAUUACAUUCAUGAAAGUCCACAUAUUCCAAUGUAAUAAAAAUACUGAACCAUAUAAAAUGACUAAGCUAUAACAACAGAAUAGUAGGGAUAAAACUAAACCGAUAAUCUGGGUCGGAAGCUCUAUCGACCGCUACGAACGUACCUCACGUCUCGUCCCAAAACUCAACGCCUGUAAUACCUGAAAAAUAGUGGGGGAGGUGAGAACAUGUAAACAUGUCUCCCCUCCCAGUGGGUACCGCAAGCCGAAGAAGGCGAGGAGUACUCACCGGAUCAGGAAGAGAUAAACAACAGUAUGGGUAAGUAAAAUAUAGUAGCAACGAUAAUGAACGAAUGAGAUAUAUAUAUGAAAGCACAACUACCGCUACUGUAAUGUACAACUGCAAGCAUACAAGGAUAUCAAAACUAUAGUAGCAAGACAACUGUAAAGAAAGAACUAGAAGUAUAUAUGCAACAACCGCUACUAUAG
rnacentral:lncRNA from 1 species